rnacentral:sRNA from 1 species
CAAUAUCUUUUAAAACCUGUUCCGGCAAAUUUUUUGU